rnacentral:lncRNA from 1 species
AUAUUUAUUUAUAUUUUUAUAAUCACUUUAUAAAAAUCUAAAGAAUGAUAUUAUACAUGUGUGUUGUAAAUUAAUCUUAUUCAGUAAUGUGAGAAACUUGUAGUUUAAAGAGUUGAGUCUCACUUUUUUUUAUAGGGUAUCUUCUUCAUGAUAAAUUGUUUUUCUUCCGGAAAAAAACUGUGCUGUAUCGAAAUUGUACGAGAUUGACAUCGUUAAUUCAUGCUAAAUAUCAAAAUUUCGCAACGAUUUGUACUCAAUGUUAAGAAAGAAUUUUACAGUCUGCUUAAAAUUCAUAAUGACCCAUUCAUGUUAAAAGGUAACGGAUUUAAUAUAGCAAUUAAGUUUUUACAACGGAAAGAAUUUUCUAUAUUAUAGUUUUUAUAUCAUUGUAAAGAACUUUUAUUUUUAUUCAAAGAACUAUCAAUAGGAAUCAUGAAAAUCAAAUAUUUGAGAAAGUGAAACAAAGUCAAACUACUAACAAGUAAGAACCAAGAUGUAUUUAAAUUUAAUUCCAAAGUCUUCUCUCGCUAAAUCAUUCUUUUAAUUUAUUCUUCCGUGAUAAAAAGCCAAUUUUAAGCAAAUGCAAGAUUAAUUUGUGUUGGUCGAAGAACCCGAAGCUCCUAGGCACGUGCUUCAAGUGUCUAAUGGUUAAUUUAGUAUGGGUAAAGGCAUAUAAAUAUGAAACAAAAACAUAAAACAUAAUAAAUUCAUUUGUAGAAAAUAAUUCAAAUUAUAAGAAGCAUUCUGAUCUUAAAAGAAUUAAGUAUAAGGAAACCUUUAAAUAUUUCUGCCUACUUUGAAAGUGAAGAGAA